rnacentral:rRNA from 1 species
GACGAACGCUGGAGGCGUGCUUAACACAUGCAAGUCGAACGAUGAAAUGGAGCUUGCUCCAUGGAUUAGUGGCGAACGAGUGAGUAACACGUGAAUAACCUGCCCUUAAUUUUGGAAUAACCCAGGGAAACCUGGGCUAAUACCGGAUAAGUAAACCUGUGGCAUCACAUGGUUUUGGAAAGUUUUUCGAUUAAGGAUGGAUUCGCGGCCUAUCAGCUUGUUGGUGAGGUAAUGGCUCACCAAGGCGACGACGGGUAGCCGGCCGGGGAGGGGGAACGGCCACACUGGGACUGAGACACGGCCCAGACUCCUACGGGAGGCAGCAGUGGGGAAUAUUGCGCAAUGGACGAAAGUCUGACGCAGCGACGCCUCGUGAGGGACGAAGGUCUUCGGAUUGUAAACCUCUUUCAGCAGGGACGAAGCGAAAGUGACGGUACCUGCAGAAGAAGCACCGGCUAACUAUGUGCCAGCCGCCGCAGUAA